GAAAUGCGAUAAGUAAUGUGAAUUGCAGAAUUCAGUGAAUCAUCGAAUCUUUGAACGCACAUUGCGCCCGCCAGUAUUCUGGCGGGCAUGCCUGUUCGAGCGUCAUUUCAACCAUCAAGCCCCCGGGCUUGUGUUGGGGACCUGCGGCUGCCGCAGGCCCCGAAAACCAGUGGCGGGCUCGCUGUCACACCGGGCGUAGUAGAUUUUUCGUCUCGCCCAGGGCGUGCUGCGGGUUCCGGCCGUUAAAAAGCCUCUCUUUUAACCCAAGGUUGACCUCGGAUCAGGUAGGAAGACCCGCUGAACUUGAGC
rnacentral:misc_RNA from 1 species